AUUAAUUUUUCUUCUCUUUAAUUAUUUAAUUACCUUUAUGCCAUUGUAAUCUACUUUUCCUAUUAUGUCUCUUUCUUUUUUUCAUGUGCAGCACUUUGAAUCGACUUGCUACUGAAAUGUGCUUUAUCAAUAAACUCGCCUUGCGUUGUUUCUCAUCUAAAUAUAACCAACUUCUAAAGGAAUAGUGAACGUCUGAUAGAAAAGAAGACAGAAGGGAAAUAGACUGAUAGAAAGAAGAGUAAAGCUAAGAGCAGAAGAGUGUUAGAAACAGGAGGAGUGGAAAGAAGACAGGUAUUACUGCUGCUAUUAGAAAAUGCUAACAACAGUGUGGAUAGACACUUUCCUGCUAUUGCACUUGAUUUUUAUAGUUUAAUUAUGAAUAAAUAUUUCAAAAUAAAUGAAA